rnacentral:rRNA from 1 species
AUUGAACGCUGGCGGCAUGCUUUACACAUGCCAGUCGAACGGCAGCGCGGGCUUCGGCCUGGCGGCGAGUGGCGAACGGGUGAGUAAUGCAUCGGAACGUGCCCAGUAGUGGGGGAUAGCCCGGCGAAAGCCGGAUUAAUACCGCAUACGACCUGAGGGUGAAAGCGGGGGACCGAAAGGCCUCGCGCUAUUUGAGCGGCCGAUGUCGGAUUAGCUAGUUGGUGGGGUAAAGGCUUACCAAGGCGACGAUCCGUAGCUGGUCUGAGAGGACGACCAGCCACACUGGGACUGAGACACGGCCCAGACUCCUACGGGAGGCAGCAGUGGGGAAUUUUGGACAAUGGGGGCAACCCUGAUCCAGCCAUGCCGCGUGCGGGAAGAAGGCCUUCGGGUUGUAAACCGCUUUUGUUCGGGAAGAAAUCCUCUGGGCUAAUACCCCGGGGGGAUGACGGUACCGGAAGAAUAAGCACCGGCUAACUACGUG